CCUACGGGAGGCAGCAGUGGGGAAUAUUGGGCAAUGGGCGCAAGCCUGACCCAGCAACGCCGCGUGAAGGAAGAAGGCUUUCGGGUUGUAAACUUCUUUUCUCAGGGACGAUGAAAGUGACGGUACCUGAGGAAUAAGCCACGGCUAACUACGGGCCAGCAGCCGCGGUAAUACGUAGGUGGCAAGCGUUAUCCGGGAUUAUUGGGGGUAAAGGGCGUGUAGGCGGGUGGGAGAGUCAGAUGGGAAAACUCAGGGCUCAAACCUGAGCCUGCAUUUGAAACUGGGGUUCUUGAGUGCUGGAGAGGCGAUCGGAAUUCCGUGUGUAGCGGUGAAAUGCGUAGAUAUACGGAGGAACACCAGUGGCGAAGGCGGAUUGCUGGACAGUAACUGACGCUGAGGCGCGAAAGCGUGGGGAGCAAACAGGAUUAGAUACCCUUGUAGUC
rnacentral:rRNA from 1 species